CCUACGGGCGGCAGCAGUGGGGAAUAUUGGGCAAUGGGCGCAAGCCUGACGCAGCAACGCCGCGUGAAGGAAGAAGGCCUUCGGGUUGUAAACUUCGUUUGUCGGGGACGAAAACAGUGACGGUCCCUGACGACUCAGCCACGGCUAACUACGUACCAGCAGCCGCAGUAAUACGUAGGUGGCAAGCGUUAUCCGGAUUUACGGGGUGUAAAGGGCGUGUAGGCGGGAGAGAAAGUCAGACGUUAAAUUCCAGGGCUAAACCUUGGAACUGCGCUUGAAACUGUUCUUCUGGAGUGAGGGAGAGGCAGGAGGAAUUCCGGGUGUAGCGGUGAAAUGCGUAGAUAUACGGAGGAACACCAGUGGCGAAGGCGGCCUGCUGGACAGUAACUGACGCUGAGGCGCGAAAGCGUGGGGAGCAAACAGGAUUAGAUACCCGGGUAGUC
rnacentral:rRNA from 1 species